CUCCUCGUGGUUCUUCUUCAGAUAGGCCAGCUCUUCAGUCAGGCUCUCAAUUUGCAUCUCCAGCUCAUAGUUUGAUUCUUCCAGAGCCCGAACUUUGUCCAAGUAGGAAGCCAGGCGGUCAUUCAGAUUCUGCAUGGUUACUUUUUCAUUUCCAGAGAGAAGGCCACCAUCUCCUCCAACAAGGGAGCCUUUGCUGCUAGAAAUUCUUAGGGAUGAC
rnacentral:lncRNA from 1 species